UACGUAGGGGGCAAGCGUUGUCCGGAUUUAUUGGGCGUAAAGAGCGUGUAGGCGGCCAUACAGGUCAGCUGUGAAAACUCGAGGCUCAACCUCGAGACGUCGGUUGAAACCGUAUGGCUAGAGUCCGGAAGAGGAGAGUGGAAUUCCCGGUGUAGCGGUGAAAUGCGCAGAUAUCGGGAAGAACACCCGUGGCGAAGGCGGCUCUCUGGGACGGUACUGACGCUGAGGCGCGAAGGCUAGGGUAGCAAACAGG
rnacentral:rRNA from 1 species